UACGGGGGGGGCAAGCGUUGUUCGGAAUUACUGGGCGUAAAGGGCUCGUAGGCGGCCAACUAAGUCGGAUGUGAAAUCCCCAGGCUUAACCUGGGAACUGCAUCCGAUACUGGAUGGCUUGAAUCCGGGAGAGGGACGCAGAAUUCCAGGUGUAGCGGUGAAAUGCGUAGAUAUCUGGAGGAAUACCGGUGGCGAAGGCGGCAUCCUGGACCGGCAUUGACGCUGAGUGAGCGAAAGCCAGGGGAGCAAACGGG
rnacentral:rRNA from 1 species